CCAAUUCAAGAACAACAAACCACAACAAAAUCCGACAUAAAUCGCUUCUUUAAGCACCAUUUACAGAACAAACGCACAGUGAUUCGCCUGGAUCAUUGUAGGCGGACAAAAGUCAAUGUAAACAAUCAAAUAAUUGACAGUACUCUGAUUAUAACAACCCUUGAUAUGUCACAAUUUUAAGUAAGAAUUGUGCAAAAUAUUCUAAUACGGUUAACUACAACAAGUUUAAUCGAAGUGAUACGCUGUUAUCAUUUUUAUGUUUUCAAUUUAAAUAAAAAAUACAAUAUAAAUAGUGAUUUAACAAGGUUUGGAGAGGAAAACACGACUGUUAAUGAAAUGGAAUAUAAUUUAGAAGAUUGAGUUUGCUCUAUUUCAAAAAUGGAGUUAUUUGAAGAAUGGCGAAAAUGUAAAAUAGAACGAAAUUCCCGAUUAGUUAAUUAUGUUUGCACAAAAUUUAGUGCUACAGAUGUAACGCCUGAUACACAGAAGAAGAUAAAGUUAAAAAUUUCGAGUGUUUCGUCAAAAUUUUCGAAAAAAUGGACUGAAACAAAUAUGAUGAUUGAACGUUUUUUAAACAAAAAUGGCAGUUGGUUAGAAGGAGCAGAUUUACAAUUUUACCUACAAAUGGAACAUCCCUGCCCUACCUCAUCAACUGGAAGCAAUCGACCUGAAGGUAGACCAAAAAAGAUUUUGAAGAGUCGUCUUUUAAAACGAAAAAACCAAGGGUCGAAGACUUACUAGAAUCGCGAAGUGCCAUCGAGUUGACAGGAGCCGCGGAAGUAGCAAAUCGCUUUGAGGGUAAUAGAAGCAUAGCUACUUCGAUUAAAGUUUGAAAUCUACAGAAAAAAGAAGUAUGGUAAUACCACAUGCGAAGGCAGGCAAUUGGCAAGUGAUGAGGCAUUAGCUUAUUAUGUGGAUUCUAAGUGCACAAGUUACUCCUGUAAACAGACGCGUAAAUGGUCAUUGAAGGCGGGACAUAAAGUUUUUCUAUCCUAUUUUAGUUUACGUAAGUCUACAAAUUUGUGUUACCCUGCAGAUGAGCAUAUCUUGGUAACAGAAACGCGCGCCGAAAUUAUACUUCAACGCAUUUUGGAUAAAACCGCUAAACGUUUAAUUGAAGCGCAAUGUGAAGUUUUUAAAGCAAAUAUAUCUUCUAAGUCGUCAUUCACACUAAUCAGCAAAUGGGGAUGUGACGGAAGCUCCGGCCAUAGCGCUUAUAAACAGAAAUUUGAGAACUGCGAUGCUACUGAUGAGUAUAUGUUUGUUUUUGCUAUUGUCCCAUUGAGAUUGAGUGACGAUGCCAGCCAAAAUAUUUUAUGGCAAAAUCCGCGGCCUUCGUCCACACUCUAUUGUCGCCCAAUUAAGCUUAUUUUUUAUAAAGGAAACAACUGAUUUUACUAUAUCAGAAACUAACAAGGUUUUGGAAGAAGUAUCUCAAUUUCUUCCAACACUUUGUGAUAAUCGCGGUUCUCAAAUUUUGGUAAAACGUAAUAUAGAUUUACUACAUAUGCUUUUAAUAACAUCCGAUCCGGUAAUCAACUAACUCAGAGAAGUUCCUAGAAAGAGAACAGAUAAAUUACCGGAGGAAGUUCUAAAUUUAAUUGUCCCGCCUUCAAUACCAUCAAAAGUACCACGUCAGGUAACAUGUGACCAUGACGAUAAAGAUUAUCUAGUAUCUGAUUCAGAUGAAUCUAACAGUGAUGAUGAGUCAUUCAAUGAGUAAUGAUAUAGUAUAUAAUAUUAAACAUUUUGUUGUUGUGUGUUAUUGUUAUUUUUAUAUUACUGUUAUUAUUAGGUCUGUUGGUAAAAAUUCCCUUACUAAUCAUCGCGUUUUUCAAUAGUUGUAAUGUAAUGGACUUAUGUAUUAGUACGUAUUUUAUACAUCCAAGUAAAUGUUAUUGUAUGUUUUGAAAUUUAAAAAAAUAAUUAAAUAUAUUUCUUACACAAUUUUUUGUUUUCUAUUCGUAAAUCUAAAAAAAAUAUAUUAAUUUUUCAAUGAAA